AUACGUAGGAAGCGAGCGUUAUCCGGGAUUACUGGGCGUAAAGCGCGCGUAGGUGGUCUUUCAAGUCGAAUGUGAAAUUUCCCGGCUUAACCGGGAAGGGUCGUUCGAUACUGUUGGACUAGAGAGCGGCAGGGGGAAGCGGAAUUCCCGGUGUAGUAGUGAAAUGCGUAGAUAUCGGGAGGAACACCAGUGGCGAAGGCGGCUUCCUGGGCUGUUUCUGACACUGAGGCGCGAAAGUGUGGGGAGCGAACAGAAUUAGAUACUCUGGUAGUCCACACUGUAAACGAUGGGUACUAGGUAUAGGGAGUAUCGACCCUCUUUGUGCCGAAGCUAACGCUUUAAGUACCCCGCCUGGGGACUACGGCCGCAAGGCUAAA
rnacentral:rRNA from 1 species